rnacentral:rRNA from 1 species
GAUGAACGCUGGCGGCGUGCCUAAUACAUGCAAGUCGAGCGAACAGACGAGGAGCUUGCUCCUCUGAUGUUAGCGGCGGACGGGUGAGUAACACGUGUAUAACCUACCUAUAAGACUGGUAUAACUUCGGGAAACCGGAGCUAAUACCGGAUAACAUGUUGAACCGCAUGGUGCAACAGUGAAAUACGGUCUUGCUGUCACGUAUAGAUGGAUCCGCGCCGCAUUAGGUAGUUGGUACGGUAACGGCUUACCAAGGCAACGAUGCGUAGCCGACCUGAGAGGGUGAUCGGCCACACUGGAACUGAGACACGGUCCAGACUACUACGGGAGGCAGCAGUAGGGAAUCUUCCGCAAUGGGCGAAAGCAUGACGGAGCAACGCCGCGUGAGUGAAGAAGGUCUUCGGAUCGUAAAACUCUGUUAUUAGGGAAGAACAAAUGUGUAAGUAACUAUGCACGUCUUGACGGUACCUAAUCAGAAAGCCACGGCUAACUACGUG